rnacentral:rRNA from 1 species
AUUGAACGCUGGCGGCAUGCUUUACACAUGCCAGUCGAACGGUAACAGGCCGCAAGGUGCUGACGAGUGGCGCACGGGUGAGUAAUGCAUCGGAACGUGCCCAGUCGUGGGGGAUAACUACUCGAAAGAGUAGCUAAUACCGCAUACGAUCUAUGGAUGAAAGCGGGGGACCGUAAGGCCUCGCGCGAUUGGAGCGGCCGAUGUCAGAUUAGGUAGUUGGUGGGGUAAAGGCUCACCAAGCCAACGAUCUGUAGCUGGUCUGAGAGGACGACCAGCCACACUGGGACUGAGACACGGCCCAGACUCCUACGGGAGGCAGCAGUGGGGAAUUUUGGACAAUGGGCGCAAGCCUGAUCCAGCAAUGCCGCGUGCAGGAAGAGGGCCUUCGGGUUGUAAACUGCUUUUGUACGGAACGAAACGGCUCUGGUUAAUACCCGGGGCUAAUGACGGUACCGUAAGAAUAAGCACCGGCUAACUACGUG